UACGUAGGGUGCAAGCGUUGUCCGGAAUUAUUGGGCGUAAAGAGCUCGUAGGCGGUCUGUCGCGUCGGCUGUGAAAACCCGGGGCUCAACCCCGGGCCUGCAGUCGAUACGGGCAGACUAGAGUGCGGUAGGGGAGACUGGAAUUCCUGGUGUAGCGGUGAAAUGCGCAGAUAUCUGGAGGAACACCGGUGGCGAAGGCGGCAUCCUGGACCGGCAUUGACACUGAGGCGCGAAAGCCAGGGAGCAAACGGG
rnacentral:rRNA from 1 species